rnacentral:rRNA from 1 species
UGCAGAAUCCCGUGAACCAUCGAGUCUUUGAACGCAAGUUGCGCCCGAAGCCAUUAGGCUGAGGGCACGUCUGCCUGGGCGUCACAC